rnacentral:rRNA from 1 species
CAUGUGGUUAAUUCGAUGAUACGCGAGGAACCUACCUGGGCUCGAACGUAAGAUGACUGUAGGUGAAAGCUUACAUCUCUUCGGAGCAUUUACGAGGUGCUGCAUGGUUGUCGUCAGCUCGUGCCGUGAGGUGUCGGGUUAAGUCCCAUAACGAGCGCAACCCCUACCUUUAGUUGCCAUCAGGUUAAGCUGGGGACUCUAAAGGAACUGCCUACGCAAGUAGUGAGGAAGGCGGGGAUGACGUCAAAUCAGCACGGCCCUUACGUCCAGGGCUACACACGUGCUACAAUGGCCGAUACAGAGGGCAGCUACCUGGUGACAGGAUGCAAAUCUCCAAAGUCGGUCUCAGUUCGGAUCGGAGUCUGCAACCCGACUCCGUGAAGUUGGAUUCGCUAGUAAUCGCGCAUCAGCCAUGGCGCGGUGAAUACGUUCCCGGGCCUU